CAAUGAGUUUGCAAGUAUCUCAAAGUCCAUAGUUCCCGGAUGAAGUACACAGCCCUCAACCUUUUGAGCUACUAAUUGCCAUGGAACAAAUGCACUGUAACGUUCAACAACGGUAAGCAAACGAUGGCUAUAGUGUAUACUGCGGUUUGCUUUUUUAUGAGGUCUUCUGAAUUUUUAGUUUAAGCUUUUUAUUGGCUUCAGGUGGGAUCAAUGCUGAAAUCAAUUUAUCAAUUAUCUCAAUCUCAAUGUCGCCAAAAGCCAACGGUGCUCAACUAUUCUGUAACAUCUGAACAGGUUUUGGAGCUAAGUGUACAACCUC
rnacentral:lncRNA from 1 species